AUUGAACGCUGGCGGCAUGCCUUACACAUGCAAGUCGAACGGCAGCACGGGAGCAAUCCUGGUGGCGAGUGGCGAACGGGUGAGUAAUAUAUCGGAACGUGCCCGGUCGUGGGGGAUAACGUAGCGAAAGCUACGCUAAUACCGCAUACGAUCUACGGAUGAAAGCGGGGGAUCGCAAGACCUCGCGCGAUUGGAGCGGCCGAUAUCAGAUUAGGUAGUUGGUGAGGUAAAGGCUCACCAAGCCGACGAUCUGUAGCUGGUCUGAGAGGACGACCAGCCACACUGGGACUGAGACACGGCCCAGACUCCUACGGGAGGCAGCAGUGGGGAAUUUUGGACAAUGGGCGCAAGCCUGAUCCAGCAAUGCCGCGUGCAGGAUGAAGGCCUCGGUUGUAACUA
rnacentral:rRNA from 1 species